rnacentral:rRNA from 1 species
UCCAGACUCCUACGGGAGGCAGCAGUGAGGAAUAUUGGUCAAUGGGCGCGAGCCUGAACCAGCCAAGUCGCGUGAGGGAAGACGGUCCUAUGGAUUGUAAACCUCUUUUGUCGGGGAGCAAAAGACGCCACGCGUGGCGUUCCGAGAGUACCCGAAGAAAAAGCAUCGGCUAACUCCGUGCCAGCAGCCGCGGUAAUACGGAGGAUGCGAGCGUUAUCCGGAUUUAUUGGGUUUAAAGGGUGCGCAGGCGGAAUGUCAAGUCAGCGGUAAAAUUUCGGGGCUCAACCCCGUCGUGCCGUUGAAACUGGCGUUCUUGAGUGAGCGAGAAGUAUGCGGAAUGCGUGGUGUAGCGGUGAAAUGCAUAGAUAUCACGAAGAACCCCGAUUGCGAAGGCAGCCUGCCGCAGCGUUACUGACGCUGAAGCUCGAAAGCGCGGGUAUCGAACAGGAUUAGAUACCCUAGUAUU